rnacentral:rRNA from 1 species
GACGAACGCUGGCGGCGUGCUUAACACAUGCAAGUCGAACGGAAAGGCCCUGCUUUUGUGGGGUGCUCGAGUGGCGAACGGGUGAGUAACACGUGAGUAACCUGCCCUUGACUUUGGGAUAACUUCAGGAAACUGGGGCUAAUACCGGAUAGGAGCUCCUGCUGCAUGGUGGGGGUUGGAAAGUUUCGGCGGUUGGGGAUGGACUCGCGGCUUAUCAGCUUGUUGGUGGGGUAGUGGCUUACCAAGGCUUUGACGGGUAGCCGGCCUGAGAGGGUGACCGGCCACAUUGGGCCUGAGUUACGGCCCAGACUCCUACGGGAGGCAGCAGUGGGGAAUAUUGCACAAUGGGCGGAAGCCUGAUGCAGCAACGCCGCGUGCGGGAUGACGGCCUUCGGGUUGUAAACCGAUUUCGCCUGUGACGAAGCGUGAGUGACGGUAAUGGGUAAAGAAGCACCGGCUAACUACGUG